UAGCUCAGUCAGUUGAGCAUGGCGCUAACAAUGCCAAGGUCGUGGGUUCGAUUCCCGU
rnacentral:tRNA from 1 species